rnacentral:rRNA from 1 species
CCUACGGGAGGCAGCAGUGGGGAAUAUUGGGCAAUGGGCGCAAGCCUGACCCAGCAAUGCCGCGUGAAGGAAGGUGGCUUUCGGGUUGUAAACUUCUUUGACAGGGGAAGAGCAGAAGACGGUACCCUGAAAACAAGCCACGGCUAACUACAUGCCAGCAGCCGCGGCAAUACGUAGGUGGCAAGAGUUGUCCGGAUGUACUGGGUGUAAAGGGCGUGUAGCCGGGAAGGCGAGUCAGAUGUGAAAUCUGGUGGCUCAAGCUCCAAAUUGCAUUUGAAACUGUUUUUCGGGAGUAUUGGGGAGGCAGACGGAAGUGCUGGUGUAGCGGUGAAAUGCGUAGAUAUAAGGAGGAACACCAGUGGCGAGGGCGGUCUGGUGGACAGCAACUGACGGUGAGGCGCGAAAGCGUGGGAGCAAACAGGAUUAGAUACCCUUGUAGUC